GUCGCCUUUACAAGGAGAAGCAUUUGGUAGCAGAGAUUCCCAUGUGACGUCAGGAUCAGGAAAGAAUAUCCUCUAAAGACUCUGGAAGAAAACGAUCAUCGGAAACACGCUCCUGGCUACUCUCAGGCUUCUUCAGUGGACCUUCAUCAUGACUCCGGCCAUCGACCAAUCCAACACACACAGGUAAUGUCACGGAUGGUGUUACAGAAAACUAGAAGACACAAAUGAAGAUCCGACUGACUUGAUCCAAAACUAAGUAACGAAAGGGUUCCAAUAUAUUCAUUGAACAUCAUAUGGACAUUUGCGUUUUGCAUAUAGUGUGAAAUCCUAAGAUUUCAGAUGGGGAGUGUGCUGUCCCAGCAUUUAUUUCUCCCAUUUAAGACUAAUUGCUGUAUUUGUGUUAUCAUAUCAUUACCAUGUUAUGUAAUGCUGCCAACCUGUGGUGAUUCUUGUUAUAGGUUUCUGAAUGCAUUAUGUAAAUCUUAUUGCCUUUGCUCUCUGUCUCCCCCUCCCUUUCGGUGACAUCAUAUCCUGUUGUGCUCUUCCUGUGUCUUUCUUUUUUUUUUUUUUUUUCUGCAGCAGACUCAGAGCUGGUGAGAGCAUUUUGUUUUGACCUCUAAUGUCCUUUAUAUGUCUUUGCUCAAGGUAAACUUAAUAAAUUACCAAAGCAUUUCCAUUGUAUCCUCCUCACUGGAUCUUAUCAUACAACUGGUACCACGCCCUAGGGAUAUUAGUGAGUUCAGCUGUCUAUCAUUGCUUGUACAGAGAUUUCUCUAAUGUACAUUUGUGGCAGAAUACCCCACUUUAGGGAUAAAAAAUUCCUUCUCGACUCUAAUCAGGUAGUCAGAAUAAUUCCAUGGAUCAACAACCCAUCUCUAGUAGCUAUAACCUGUAAUAUUAUUACACUCCAGAAAUACAUCCAGACCCCUCUUGCACUCUUUUAGUGAACUUUAGA